rnacentral:lncRNA from 1 species
GAGCGUGAGCUGCGCGCCGAGAGCGGAAGAGGAGACGCAGUUUGGCGGCUGUGGGGAUUUGCCGGAAGGUUAAUAAUGUCCAUGGGCACAUCGGCCUCCUCCUUUCUUAUUCUCUCCCAAGUGUAAUUCCAGGACGCCCCCUGAGCGCAGAUUCAUCCAGGCAUUUGGCCUAGAGGCCCGCGGAGGAGAAAUAAAGUACAGGCCUGGUAGGACCUUUGAGAACCUGGGCUUCAGCUACAAAACCAGAGCCCCAGUCCUUCAUCUGCUGUCUCCUCAAGCUCUUUUCAGUGUAUUGUGGAGUUCAUUACCACUCUAAGCUCGCACGGAAGUGUACACCAGCUUCGUGAUCUUAAAAGCAAAACAAAAUCAAAUGGACUAGGAAUUAACUUGAAGCAGAGUUGUGACACUUAAGUGGUUUCUUGCCAUCAGUUUCCACGCACUGCUUUAAGAUGCAAUUUUACAAGGUACCACAUGAUGGAAGUCAGUCCAAUCUUUCCUAUCCUGUUUCAUCCACCACCACAAAAUACCUAAGUGACAGCUAUGGGACUAUCUACAGGCAAUACAUACAAGCUGUUGACAAGUUUUUGCAUGGAAAAUGAAGAAGCUGAGACCAUUCACUGCUGUUUCUAAUAGACUUCUCAGAAAGAAUAAGAGAAUAGUAAUCAAAUUGUGGUCAAAGCCAUCUAACAGAGGAUAACAGACCCAGGAAUCAGUUAAAUUCAAGGACUUGAAACAGUUUGCAAAAGCUGCAGCAGGGCAUUUUCCUUUGUGAGGGAAAGCUCCAGGAUCAGUUCUAAAAGACAAAAGAAUAUUAAUACUAAUGUCCCUUUAUCCCCCAGUGCCUUUCCAAGUGCUUAGGUCUCAGUCUCUCUCUCUCUGUCUCUCUCUCUCUAACACUGCCACAAAAUUAAUGUGUCCCAUUCUAGUAACUAUAACCUCUUUCCAAUCAUGCUUCUAAUCUCACCUAAAAUUUUCAUCUGGAACAGUCAGUCAAGAGCAAGAGUGACAAGGGAAUUUUUAUAAAACAUAUAAAAACCCAUUA